rfam:Cyanothece sp. ATCC 51142 circular chromosome, complete sequence.
GAGAGAGUUAGUAGGAAAGCACUUGGGGUCGAAACACGGCAAGACUCCCAGGUGCUUUUCUCA